rnacentral:rRNA from 1 species
CACGUAGGGGGCAAGCGUUGUCCGGAAUUAUUGGGCGUAAAGAGCUCGUAGGCGGUUUGGUAAGUCAGAUGUGAAAACUCAGGGCUCAACCCGGAGAGGCCAUCUGAUACUGCCAUGACUAGAGUCCGGUAGAGGAGUGUGGAAUUCCUGGUGUAGCGGUGAAAUGCGCAGAUAUCAGGAGGAACACCAACGGCGAAGGCAGCACUCUGGGCCGGUACUGACGCUGAGGAGCGAAAGCGUGGGGAGCAAACAGGAUUAGAUACCCCCGUA